AAAGCGGCAACAGCUCAAAUUUGAAAUCUGACCCUUUGGGGUCCGAGUUGUAAUUUGCAGAGGGUGUUUCGGGCACGGUGCCGGUUUAAGUCCUUUGGAACAGGGCGUCAUAGAGGGUGAGAACCCCGUAUGUGACCGGUCGCCAAACCCAUGUGAAACCCCUUCGACGAGUCGAGUUGUUUGGGAAUGCAGCUCAAAAUGGGUGGUAAAUUUCAUCUAAAGCUAAAUAUUGGCCAGAGACCGAUAGCGCACAAGUAGAGUGAUCGAAAGAUGAAAAGCACUUUGGAAAGAGAGUCAAACAGCACGUGAAAUUGUUGAAAGGGAAGCGCUUGCGACCAGACCUGCUCGCGGGUGAUCAGCGGUGCUUUUCGCGCCGUGCACUCAUCCGCGAUCAGGCCAGCAUCGGUUCAGGCGGCCGGAUAAAGACUCGGAGAAUGUAGCUCCCUCCGGGGAGUGUUAUAGCUCCUUGUGCAAUACGGCCAGCCGGGACCGAGGACCGCGCUUCGGCUAGGAUGCUGGCGUAAUGGUCGUAAGCGACCCGUCUUGAAACACGGACCAAGGAGUCUAACAUCUGUGCGAGUGUUUGGGCGUCAAACCCAUGCGCGCAAUGAAAGUGAACGUGAGGUGGGAACCCUUUCGGGGGCGCACCAUCGACCGAUCCAGAUGUCUUCGGAUGGAUUUGAGUAAGAGCACAGCUGUUGGGACCCGAAAGAUGGUGAACUAUGCCUGAAUAGGGUGAAGCCAGAGGAAACUCUGGUGGAGGCUCGCAGCGGUUCUGACGUGCAAAUCGAUCGUCAAAUUUGGGUAUAGGGGCGAAAGACUAAUCGA
rnacentral:rRNA from 1 species